CAGCAUUAGAAAGAAAACCUGUACUGGGACAGUUGUGCCCUAAAGGGGCAAGCAAAAAGAAAGGGAAUAAAGACUAGCAACAACCCAGAAGUGUUGUGAACAACAAUUUCUAAGAAGUGACCAUUCUCUGUAUUUAUUAGGAUGUGAAAGAAAUGAAGUUCCCUCUCUCACACACACAUUCAAGAAUACAAGUCUGAGGAGAACCUGCUCUGGGUGAAGAAGGCAUAUAUUCACAAGGGGCUAUGAGACCCCUGGAGAGACCAGGUUCUCUGAGGGUAGGACACAUACUUUAGCAACUUGGGGGACACAUUCUCGAGCUGAACUGGUGUCUCUGGAGCCCAUAUGAGUUGGGCCUGUGGGGGCCCCACAGACAGGGACCCUUGGCAUUGCUGAUAAUUGAAGGGUCUGCCACAGAGGUCUCUAACAUGACUUUCUACCACCAUCUUUCCUGCUCACUUGCACAUCAAUAGACACACAGGUAUAUUGAGCAGCAGCUCUUCCUCACCUUGUCAUCAGUCUGUUUCUGCCUUCACCAUUCUGCAUCUGACCUUUCACAAGUAGCAAGAGAAGAGUCUAAGGAGCAGCAGGCAACAUGCUGAAGUGCAGAGCCAGGUCAAGGCUGGGUUUGUCUGAGCAGCUGGUGAGUAAGAGAGCUGUGAUCAGGGCUCUGAGAAAUAUGGACAGGGGCCAGCCUGACAAAGACAACAAAGAACUGCCCAGGGGAAGGUGAAGAAGGUAACUGUCAACCCUUCAAAAAGUGAAAUGGCCUUUAGUAAGAUGAAGGCCAGCCCAUAAGAGAUGCCAGCCAAGAUGGAAUAAUGCGCAGAUUUUCAUCUAAGGGUGGGAAUGACCUGUCGGCCUGAUCCAGGCACACCGGCUUCUGAGAUUCCCUUCCUAGCCCUGCCCACACACCCCUCACCCGACGCCCUUUCCCCAGCCUAGGUCCCUGAGUUUCUCAUUCGUUGCUCACUUGUGUCUAUUGUAUGUCUUCUUCGUCAAAAUCGACAGGGGCUAAUCAGCGGUGAAAGCAGAGACUCCAGCUCAUUUCCGUUCACCUCAUUAUUUGUUUCUCUUUUGGGCUGAAGCCAAACAACAAUCAAACAUUAACAUUCCCCCUGCAGAGCAGUGCUCCACUGCUAUUCGGCUGUGCGAGGUCUCUGCGGCCCCGCGGUCUCCGGGCAUCUGGGGUAACAUCUCUUUCCAUUUCAGACCUGGGACUGGGAAAAACUAAGAAACUGUAUAAUGGAAUGGCCCUGGGCAAGCAGGGAAAGGACGUUGGGAAUUUCCGGAAGCACAAUCCCCCUGGCCAGCACUGGUGUUAAUUAAGGGCGCUGCUGGUGUUUUGUAGGCAGCUGUUUCCUCCUCCGGCCCUCCUGUUCCCCGGGCCGCCUGGGCACCGGCGCCUGCACUCUGGCAUUCAUUGCUCUACCGUAAGCCUUGUUUCUAGCCGUUUUCAAUCAAGUGGGAGACUGUCCAAAUUUCCAUCUCAAUGAAAAUCAACUGUUCUAAAUCUAAGCUCCCAUUAAGCGUUCCAGGGGCUGGCCUGACUUGGAAUUUAAGCAGCAGCGCAGCCCUCCCUGGAGUGAGCGGCAGCCGGGGCUCCAGAUGAGGCGGGCCUGCCUCCUAGUGGCCAAGGUGCUGCAGGGCAGCUCUGAGGGCUCGAGGGCUGCGCAGCCGCCACCCGAGGACACAGGGAGGAGGCACAGUAAGAGAAUCCUUAGAGCCUAACGCCCCCUCUCCGUCGCUCUCGAGCCGCUCCAGUCCCCAAGUCCCAUCCCCUUUCCUUCCCCGACAUCUCUCCUCGUUGCCCCACUCUGGCUCCGUCGAACUGCAGUGGUCUGUUAGCUGGACUCUAUCUCCAGCUUCUGUAUCGAAUCCAUGCACCUCGCUGCCAAUUCGUCUUCCGGACGCUCGUUGUCGAUCUUCUGUGAUCUCUAAUUAAGGCUCUGCUGAGUCUCCUCUUUAUCUAUAGGGAGGAUCCUCAAGCGGGGAGACACACCCUUCCUGCAGAGGCGUAUCGCCAGCCACGACAAGGCGAGCUGCGUUUCUCCCCACACUCCCCAAAAAGGCGAUGACCCUCCCCAGGCCGCGCUCACGCUGAACCCCUGUUGCUGAGCUGCAGUUCCUGGAGGUGUCCUGUCCUCAAAUGUGGGGACGCGGGGAAAAGAUU
rnacentral:lncRNA from 1 species